rnacentral:tRNA from 3 species
UGACGUGUAGAUCAGAGGUAGAGCGAUCGACUGUUACCCGACUGGUCGAUGGUUCGAUCCCAUCCGCGUCAGCCA